rnacentral:rRNA from 1 species
AUUGAACGCUGGCGGCAGGCUUAACACAUGCAAGUCGAGCGGGGUGAUGGUGCUUGCACUAUCACUUAGCGGCGGACGGGUGAGUAAUGCUUAGGAAUCUGCCUAUUAGUGGGGGACAACAUCUCGAAAGGGAUGCUAAUGCCGCAUACGUCCUACGGGAGAAAGCAGGGGAUCACUUGUGACCUUGCGCUAAUAGAUGAGCCUAAGUCGGAUUAGCUAGUUGGUGGGGUAAAGGCCUACCAAGGCGACGAUCUGUAGCGGGUCUGAGAGGAUGAUCCGCCACACUGGGACUGAGACACGGCCCAGAUUCCUACGGGAGGCAGCAGUGGGGAAGAUUGGACGAUGGGGGGAACCCUGAUCCAGCCAUGCCGCGUGUGUGAAGAAGGCCUUAUGGUUGUAAAGCACUUUAAGCGAGGAGGAGGCUCUUUUGGUUAAUACCCAAGAUGAGUGGACGUUACUCGCAGAAUAAGCACCGGCUAACUCGGUGCCAGCAGCCGCCGUAA